AAGUCGUAACAAGGUUUCCGUAGGUGAACCUGCGGAAGGAUCAUCAAAGAGAUGAGAAUUCUUUUUUUUGUGUGGAGUGAAAUGAUUAUUUCUUCGACCAAGCAAACCAAUGAGAAACAACUUUUAACAAUGGAUCUCUUGGCUCUC
rnacentral:misc_RNA from 1 species